GCAGGUGCCACACACUGCCUUGGCGGUACAAAGCCACGUGUAGAGGAGCAGUUGGGGAAGGUGCCCUUCAUUGAUGAGUCCUGCAGUGCCUAAUUCUGUGAUGAGCAGGUGGGUGAGACCUCACAGGACUCUUGAGAAGCUGGGUCUUCUCUAAGAGAUGAUGAACAGGAAACUUGUGGCUGCAGGGACAUCCCUGUGGAUGGUUUUGUCUUUCCUUGAUGACCAUGGC